CUAGCGUUGCUCGGAAUCACUGGGCGUAAAGCGCACGUAGGCGGAUUGCUAAGUCAGGGGUGAAAUCCUGGAGCUCAACUCCAGAACUGCCCUUGAUACUGGCGGUCUCGAGUUCGGGAGAGGUGAGUGGAACUGCGAGUGUAGAGGUGAAAUUCGUAGAUAUUCGCAAGAACACCAGUGGCGAAGGCGGCUCACUGGCCCGGUACUGACGCUGAGGUGCGAAAGCGUGGGGAGCAAACAGG
rnacentral:rRNA from 1 species